CCUACGGGUGGCAGCAGUGGGGAAUAUUGGACAAUGGGCGAAAGCCUGAUCCAGCCAUGCCGCGUGUGUGAAGAAGGCCUUCGGGUUGUAAAGCACUUUCAGUGGGGAAGAAAGCCUUGGGGCUAAUACCCUCGAGGAAGGACAUCACCCGCAGAAGAAGCACCGGCUAACUCCGUGCCAGCAGCCGCGGUAAUACGGAGGGUGCGAGCGUUAAUCGGAAUUACUGGGCGUAAAGCGCGCGUAGGCGGUCUGAUAAGCCGGUUGUGAAAGCCCCGGGCUCAACCUGGGAACGGCAUCCGGAACUGUCAGGCUAGAGUGCAGGAGAGGAAGGUAGAAUUCCCGGUGUAGCGGUGAAAUGCGUAGAGAUCGGGAGGAAUACCAGUGGCGAAGGCGGCCUUCUGGACUGACACUGACGCUGAGGUGCGAAAGCGUGGGUAGCAAACAGGAUUAGAUACCCUGGUAGUC
rnacentral:rRNA from 1 species